GAUGAACGCUGGCGGCGUGCCUAAUACAUGCAAGUCGAGCGAACAGACGAGGAGCUUGCUCCUCUGACGUUAGCGGCGGACGGGUGAGUAACACGUGGAUAACCUACCUAUAAGACUGGGAUAACUUCGGGAAACCGGAGCUAAUACCGGAUAAUAUAUUGAACCGCAUUGUUCAAUAGUGAAAGACGGUUUUGCUGUCACUUAUAGAUGGAUCCGCGCCGCAUUAGCUAGUUGGGAAGGUAACGGGUUACCAAGGCAACGAUGCGUGGCCGACCGGACGGGGUGAUCGGCGACACGGGAGCGGAACCACGGUCCAGACGCCUACGGGAGGCACCAGAAGGGAAUCGUCCGCAAUGGGCGAAAGCCUGACGGAGCAACGCCGAGCGAGUGAUGAAAGUCUUCGGAUCGUAAAACUCUGUUAUUAGGGAAGAACAAAUGUGUAAGUAACUAUGCACGUCUUGACGGUACCUAAUCAGAAAGCCACGGCUAACUACGUG
rnacentral:rRNA from 1 species